rnacentral:rRNA from 1 species
AUUGAACGCUAGCGGGAUGCCUUACACAUGCAAGUCGAACGAGUGGAGGCCGGGUGAGUAAUGUCUGGGAACCUGCCCGAUGGAGGGGGAUAACUACUGGAAACGGUAGCUAAUACCGCAUACCAUCGGAUGUGCCCCGAUGGGAUUAGCUAGUUGGUGGGGUAACGGCUCCCCAAGACGACGCUCCGUAGCUGGUUUGAGAGGCCGACCAGCCACACUGGGACUGAGACACGGCCCAGACUCCUACGGGAGGAAGCAGUGGGGAAUUUUGGACAAUGGGGGAAACCCGGAUCCAGCCAUCCCGCGUGUGCGAUGAAGGCCUUCGGGGUGUAAAGCACUUUUGGCAGGAAAGCGGUACCUGCAGAAUAAGCACCGGCUAACUACGUGCCAGCAGCCGCGGUAAUAC